rnacentral:rRNA from 1 species
CCCUUAGAUGUUCUGGGCAGCACGCGCGCUACAAUGGUCUUCGCAAACGGAUGCAUUCUCGAAGGAGAAUGCCAAUCUUGGAAUCUAUGCCUUGGUCGGGACAGUUGCUUGCAAUUUUUCGACUCGAACCAGGAAUUCCUUGUAAUCGUGAUUCAUCACAUCACGAUGAAUACGUCCCUGCCCUUUGUACACACCGCCCGUCGCUCCUACCGAUUGAAUGGUCCGGUGAAGCCUCCGGAUUGGCGCGCACCUCGGUGCCGCCGAGAAGUUGGCUAAACCUUACCAUUUAGAGGAAGGUGAAGUCGUAACA